AAGCAUAUUCAAUAAGCGGGAGGA
rnacentral:rRNA from 1 species